GAUGAACGCUGGCGGCGUGCCUAAUACAUGCAAGUAGAACGCUGAAGCUUGGUGCUUGCACCGAGCGGAUGAGUUGCGAACGGGUGAGUAACGCGUAGGUAACCUGCCUCUUAGCGGGGGAUAACUAUUGGAAACGAUAGCUAAUACCGCAUAAAAGUUGACAUUGCAUGAUGUUGAUUUGAAAGAUGCAAUUGCAUCACUAAGAGAUGGACCUGCGUUGUAUUAGCUAGUUGGUGAAGUAACGGCUCACCAAGGCGACGAUACAUAGCCGACCUGAGAGGGUGAUCGGCCACACUGGGACUGAGACACGGCCCAGACUCCUACGGGAGGCAGCAGUAGGGAAUCUUCGGCAAUGGGGGCAACCCUGACCGAGCAACGCCGCGUGAGUGAAGAAGGUUUUCGGAUCGUAAAGCUCUGUUGUAAGAGAAGAACGAGUGUGAGAGUGGAAAGUUCACACUGUGACGGUAACUUACCAGAAAGGGACGGCUAACUACGUGCCAGCAGCCGCGGUAAUACGUAGGUCCCGAGCGUUAUCCGGAUUUAUUGGGCGUAAAGCGAGCGCAGGCGGUUAGAUAAGUCUGAAGUUAAAGGCUGUGGCUUAACCAUAGUACGCUUUGGAAACUGUUUAACUUGAGUGCAGAAGGGGAGAGUGGAAUUCCAUGUGUAGCGGUGAAAUGCGUAGAUAUAUGGAGGAACACCGGUGGCGAAAGCGGCUCUCUGGUCUGUAACUGACGCUGAGGCUCGAAAGCGUGGGGAGCAAACAGG
rnacentral:rRNA from 1 species